rnacentral:rRNA from 1 species
UGUUGUCCAGCAUUUAAGUGGGGACGUCAGAUGAGACUGCCGGUGACAAACCGGAGGAAGGUGGGGACGGACGUCAAGUCAUCAUGGCCCUUAUGUCCUGGGCUACACACGUGCUACAAUGGCCGGUACAGAGUGAAGCGAAACCGCGAGGUGAAGCAAAACGCAGAAAGCCGGUCUCAGUACGGAUUGGAGUCUGAAACUCGACUUCAUGAAGUUGGAAUCGCUAGUAAUCGCGCAUCAGCAUGGCGCGGUGAAUACGUUCCCGGGCCUU